GAAAUUCUUGACAAUACCGUCCGGUAUGGGCUAAUUUUACUAUUUGAAAUGAACGUUCUCGAGCAUGCGCAGUUCCGCAUUGUUGUUCCUCUUUGCCGCUUCGAAGAUGGUAGUGGGUAACAGAAAGCCACGAUACAGAAAUGGUCUACCAGUAUUUGACAGGAGAGGGCCUAGGUACAGUAGGACUAGCUUUCUAACUUGUAUGUCAGAGGGAUGACCCUAGUAAAAAGGUCUGACAUUCCAUACCUGAUAAUGAAAGAAAACACCAGAAACUAUUUACUGAGGAACAAUGAUAAACAAGUGAACUGAUGGUUUAAAACUACCAAAAUGUGAAGUAAUGAACAAAAGAGUAACGUGAAGUCAGACAAUACAACCUGAGGUGUCAGAAUUUGUGCAAAAUUUUGUUAUUUGCAGAUAUAUGGAUGGAUUUUGUCAAAAUAUGACCUGAAACACUGGGAUAAAAUUAUGUUAUUUUUUUCGUAGAAAAGAUCCGGUUGUGUUCCAUAAAUGUAUUUCUAAAAAAUAAUGAGUUUAAGAAUUAAAAUCUAUAUUUGUU